AGGGUUCCGUAGCCAAAUGGCAAAAAACGGAGCCCUUGUGGAUUCGUCAUGUCUGUCUGUCUGUCUGUCCGUCCGUAUGUCACAACCACUUUUUCCGAAACUAUAAGAACUAUACUGUUGAAACUUGGUAAGUAGAUGUAUUCUGUGAACCGCAUUAAGAUUUUCACACAAAAAGUGAACAAAAAAAAAAUUUUGGGGGUUCCCCAUACUUAGAACUGAAACUCUAAAUUUUUUUUCAUCAAACCCAUACGUGUGGGUAUCUAUGGAUAGGUCUUCAUAAAUGAUAUUGAGGUUUCUAAUAUCAUUUUUUUUUCUAAACUGAAUAGUUUGCGCGAGAGACACUUCCAAAGUGGUAAAAUGUGUGCCCCUCCCCUGUAACUUCUAAAAUAAGAGAAUGAUAAAACUAAAAAAAAUAUAUGAUGUACAUUACCAUGUAAACUUCCACCGAAAAUUGGUUUGAACGAGAUCUAGUAAGUAGUUUUUUUUGAAUACGU